AUGUACCGUCUCCCCUUUGCCGACGUGUGCAAACGGCGUUGCCGUGGCACUCGAAAAAGAAAACAGGCAAAAAUUAACCACCCUCCUCCAGUGGAUGCGGUUCUCGAAGACGCCAUUCAUUCAGCUGCUUUGCGCUGCACGGCGGGGAGGCCACGGCGGCGGCGGGGGAUGGAUUUGAGUUCCUCUCAGAUCAGGUUCCUGCUGCCGGCAAUUGGCGGCGACAAGUACACGCAAGCGGCGCAUACGGUGCUAGAUCUGCUGGAUGGAGCAGCCGAGUCCAGCACUAGGGAGGUGGGGAAGCGCCGCCUGUUCUCAGAGCAGUCAACGGGGCUCGACGACCUGCAGGCCCUGGCUGGACAAAAGGCUGCACUAGUGAUGCGGGCGAACACCCCACUGGAAAUGCACGCUAGCAAUACCUACACCAGGCUAUGUUCGAGAAAUUUGGUGUAG
rnacentral:rRNA from 1 species